rnacentral:lncRNA from 1 species
UACCCUGCUCAAAGAGCUACAACCAGACACGACUAGAAUUCGAAUUCCAAAUUUAAACAGAAUCCAUGUACAAAACGAUCUAAAUAACUAAGGAAAACGUAAAACUAUACUCACGGGACAAACCAGAACACCUCCAUCAGCCGAUCGACAACUUCUAGACUCUCCCUCCAUAGCAUCGGUAGGCUCCCUUGUCGUAGCCAUCAGCACAGACACAUCAUCACCUACGGACUUAGUCACGCUCAACCGUCCUUCCAUCGGCAACCAUCUUCAUCGGCAACUCACCCUGUAGAUGAAAUACCACUGUCUUACCUUGCUGAUCUACACUUUACCGAUCAUGGACACGUGCCCAAAAACGGUGUCAACACAUGCCCCCC